rfam:Felis catus isolate Cinnamon breed Abyssinian chromosome X, whole genome shotgun sequence.
GCCUGGGUGGCUCAGUACGUUGAGCAUCUGACUCCAGCUCAGGUCAUGAUCUCACGGUUCGUGAGUUCAAGCCCCACAUCGGGCU